rnacentral:rRNA from 1 species
ACGAGUGGCGGACGGGUGAGUAAUGUAUAGGAACUUGCCUAGUAGUGGGGGACAACGUGUGGAAACGCACGCUAAUACCGCAUACGCUCUACGGAGGAAAGCGGGGGAUCUUCGGACCUCGUGCUACUAGAUGGGCCUAUAUUGGAUUAGCUAGUUGGUAGGGUAAAGGCCUACCAAGGCUACGAUGGUUAGCGGGUCUGAGAGGAUGAUCCGCCACACUGGAACUGGAACACGGACCAG